rnacentral:rRNA from 1 species
AAAUUGAAGAGUUUGAUCAUGGCUCAGAUUGAACGCUGGCGGCAGGCCUAACACAUGCAAGUCGAGCGGAAACGAGUUAUCAGAACCUUCGGGGAACGAUAACGGCGUCGAGCGGCGGACGGGUGAGUAAUGCCUAGGAAAUUGCCCUGAUGUGGGGGAUAACCAUUGGAAACGAUGGCUAAUACCGCAUGAUGCCUACGGGCCAAAGAGGGGGACCUUCGGGCCUCUCGCGUCAGGAUAUGCCUAGGUGGGAUUAGCUAGUUGGUGAGGUAAGGGCUCACCAAGGCGACGAUCCCUAGCUGGUCUGAGAGGAUGAUCAGCCACACUGGA